UGGCGGCACGCCUAACACAUGCAAGUCGAACGGAGACGAGAACUUCGGUUCUCUGAUCAGUGGCGGACGGGUGAGUAACACGUGAGCAACCUGCCUUUCAGAGGGGGACAACAGUUGGAAACGACUGCUAAUACCGCAUAACGUCAUUUUAGGGCAUCCUUUAAUGACCAAAGAUUUAUUGCUGAGAGAUGGCCUCGCGUCUGAUUAGAUAGUUGGUGAGGUAACGGCUCACCAAGUCUACGAUCAGUAGCCGGACUGAGAGGUUGAACGGCCACAUUGGAACUGAGACACGGCCCAAACUCCUACGGGAGGCAGCAGUGGGGAAUAUUGCACAAUGGGGGAAACCCUGAUGCAGCAACGCCGCGUGAAGGAUGACGUAUUUCGGUAUGUAAACUUCUAUCAGCAAGGAAGAUGAUAACGGUACUUGACUAAGAAGCCCCGGCUAACUACGUG
rnacentral:rRNA from 1 species